rnacentral:lncRNA from 1 species
AGGGAGUAAGCUGCAUGUUCCAGAAUAACAGGCACCAAUGCUGUUUGGCUUGAAGAACAUUUGAUCUCUUACAUUAACAGCCCAUGUCACUGUAAUAGCGAGUACAGUCAGGCUGUUCAGUUUUCUAUUAUUUUAGCUUUGAAAUAACCGUUAGUGCUGCUCCAAACUCCCUGUGUAUAAAACUGUACACUGGCUGUCCCCCAGGACUCGUGAGUAAACAAGGUGAUAUGUGUGGCCAGAGGGAGGAUAUUUUGUUGGCUUUGUUUUAAAUAAUAACUGUCCCUAUCUGAAGGUGUCCUUUCUGACCCCUGGUGUGCUUCAUGAUGUGGGUGCAUUUACAGACUGAGCAGUAUCCUGAGCAGAAUUUUGUUUGUUACCAAUAUUUGUACUUACCGCCUAUUAACUUGUAAUGUUUAUAUUUUCUUCUCUUAAUAGUGAGGAAUUUGGGAUUUCUGAAGCAUAACCUCAAAGAUUGUUUACACUUUGUCCAAAUAAACAGUUUGCACAAUAGUUGUUGCAAACAGGCAAGCAGGAGUUUAAGAACUAUGUUUGUCAGACUCUAAUACUAUUUUGCUUUGUCUAAAUAAAUGUUCUGCUGAUAAUUUCUAUGUUGAAUAGUUUGGCAUUUGGAGUCAGGUUGUGGUGUUGAAAGAAUAGAAAACAGAAUUUCUGAAAUCAAAUUGGGUUUCUUUUUGAGAAAAUCUCUUCUUUUACUGACAGACUGUAGCCUGUUUUAAUCAUGGUGAAACUGGCCUGGAUUAUUUAAUUCCUUCCUUCUUCUUUCCUUUAUUUCCUAAAUUUGUUUCCUCACUUUUAUUUUUCUUGCAUAAUAAAAUGCAACUAGGCCACCCCAGUAUUUCUAAUUUAAUAUACAAACACACACAUAUACACAGCUAGCACAAGAAUAAUUGGUCAAAAGGCAAGCAUCUACCCAGGGAAUUGUUCUAAAUACUGAAUGUGUCAGUGUGUUUUGACAUGACGUAUUUGUAAUAUCUGUGGAUACAGAAAGCACUUUCUGUCUUAGCUGUAGGUAUCAAAGCAGUAGUGUGUUUUUAAGAGUUUGUGCUGUGCAGAUUCUGGCUUGUGAGGUAAUGACAAGUGUUUGCCUGCAUAGACAAUAUAUUUUUCUCCCUGAGGUCCCCACACACCUAGUUUCCCUCAAGCUCAUCAUCUCUGUCAGGUUAAUCAAUAGGCACCGUAUGGCAGAGGGUCAGUAAUCAGUGUCAUCGUGCCUUUAAAUCGUGUUGAAAAUUUGCUUAAAGCCUGGGCCAAUUAACAUCGAGAUGAUGAAUGGAUGGGAAGAUGGGAAGAGCCUGCCGCUCAGGGGCUUUGUGAGGAGGAGAUGCUCAGCUGUUGAGCAGCAGACACCAGCGAAUAAAAUCAGCCAUUCAUGUGAGCUCAGUCCACCCACUCUUAAUGAUAAUGUCAAUCUAGCAAAAUAUAUACACAUUGGAGUUGUCAUGAGUUCAUAAAUCAAAGGAGUUUGUCAAAGGCAUUCAGAUUAACGAGGCAGCAGCAAUAACAAGUCAAAUUUGCAUAGAGAAUUGCUUGAAUCUCAGUAAAUUAUGAUCCUGUUUUUCAUUUGAUUAUUUGCUAAUGUCUCAAGAGGGAGAAUGAUUAUAUUAGCAUGCAAAAUCUCCUCCAGAAGUAGAAAUCUGAGGUAUGGAAGACCAACACACUAUGACAAUUAAUCAGUUUCUGCAUACUAGCAUAAAUGCACAAGGCCCAGAAAUGAACUUCUUUUUUAUUAUUAUUUCUCCUUGCUACUGAUCCAAAUGGUUCAGCUUGACAGAGACUUUAUAUUGCUUUAACAGUGUUCUGAAUUGUGCCUGCAGGCAAGACAUAGUUAUGCAGCUAUAACCAACCUAUCCAUCUGCCAACCAGAUUGGAAUUCUCCUAUCCAAGGCUUCCAUUAACCCCCACUGACAGCUCCAAACAGGAUUAAGAAUUUGGAAGCAUAAAAAAUAGUUGUUCUUUGCAAAUACACACAAUCCCUUUGCAUUUUGAGAAAGGCUGCAUCUGUAGUAUUCUUAUAAUUAGCGUCAGACAAUGUAGCAGGGGGAUCAACCCACUUGGCAGGUUUUUUGACUUCUGUCCUAGGGAGGAAGGCAGUGCGGAUGGCAGUUAGUACUCUUUGGUUUUUUCCCAGGGAGCACUUUCCAUUCUAUCUGGUUCCUACCACUAUGUUUGGAUCUGUGCACCGCUGAAAAAUAGCCCCCCUUGAAAGCUUGGACUGGGGUUCCAUAGAAGUUAAACACUGUGUGCAGACUUUGUUUGAUGUUGCUGUGGUGUAAUAGAGUGUGCCAAAUGGUGAACUUGCCAGAGAAGCUAUUGUCUGUGGAAGCAUGCCAGAGAGGAUUAUUUUAUGAGGAUACUUCAGGUCUUCCCUAAAAACUGGUCCUUGGAUACAACUGAACCUUCAAUAAGCUUCUAAACUUACUUACUUCUCCCAUUAAUCCCAGGAAGAUUCAUUAAUUUUUUUUUCAAAUGCAGAGUGUGGUGGGCUUUUGUUUUGUCUUUAGAGAGAGUACCUUACUCUGUAGCACUUGCUGGCCUGUGACUCACUACUCAGACUAGGCUGCCCUUGAACUUUCAGUGAUCCUCCUGCCUUUGCCUCCCAAGUAUUGGGAUUACAGUCAUUUUCUGGCCAGCUCUGUGUGUGUGUGUGUGUGUGUGUGUGUGUGUGUGUUUUAUGUCACCUUUCACUGAAGAGCUUUUAUUAUUUUUUUAUGUAGCUAAAUUACCUUUUAAGCUUGUAAAAAUACCUUUUGUUUUUGUAAACUGGAAGCCCUGUGUGUGGAGGUUAAAGUUACUGCCGAGUCGCAGG